rnacentral:lncRNA from 10 species
GUUGACUACAAAUGGAUCAACUGUAUGAAAAAUAAGAGAUUCACAGAGAAAGGAUGGAAGAGACUUGAACCACCUGGUAAUGCACCCCGAGGAACGUUCAUCAUUAUCUGCAUUUUUCAGCAGAGGAGAAUGCCAAAGUCUUGUACCUGCAGCAAGAAGCCGGCCCCAGAGAGGCUGACCCCAGAGGUGAGCUGGGCACAGCAGCCCCAACAGCCAGGAAGGAGGCAGUCCUGAGGCAACGAGCAGGAACCCCAAGGUCUCCAAGGUGUGAGGGGAUCAGCCACCAGCCUGAAUCCACAGCUCUGCUUGCUGGGUCCACCUGCACUGAGCGGGUUGGGUCCACAGGAGGGGAUCAGGGCUCUACCCACAGAGGCAGAAGCACAAAGAUCACAGCACUGCUUUAGCUAUGAUGGUAUCCAGCUGGAUGUGAGUCUGCCAGUGCCUCCCAGAGUCUGACCUACUGGAGGUAGGAGGUGGGGUGUGGAAAAGGGCCAUGGGGACAGGGGAAAUGUCAGCAAGAAACCAAGUAAAUCCCAGGAGGCCAAUACUGUGAGUCCUCUGGACUGAAGAAUAUCUGUUGGGAGAUACUCUAUAGCCUGGAGCGCAUUCACAGAGGUGGGAAGGAGUCAGGAAAUGCACUGAACUUCUGUGUAAACAAUAAAUGAUGGGACAGAGUAAGUGAAAACAAUCUACUUUUUAAGAAAUCAUGCCAUA